GAUUAACGCUGGCGGCGUGCCUAAUACAUGCAAGUCGAAUGUAUUUAUUUACAUGGCGGACGGCUGAGUAACACGUUGGUACCUGCCCUACACACGGGGAUAGUCUCUGGAAACGGAGUUUAAUACCCGAUACCCUCUUCGGAGGAAAGCUUUUGCGGUGUAGGAGGGGCCUGCGCAUGAUUAGCUAGUUGGUGAGGUAACGGCUCACCAAGGCUUCGAUCAUUAGAUGGUCUGAGAGGAUGAUCAUCCAGACUGGGACUGAGAACGGCCCAGACUCCUACGGGAGGCAGCAGUAAGGAAUCUUGCACAAUGGGGGAAACCCUGAUGCAGCAACGCCGCGUGGAGGAAGACGGCCUGGUUG
rnacentral:rRNA from 1 species